rnacentral:rRNA from 1 species
AUUGAACGCUGGCGGAAUGCUUUACACAUGCAAGUCGAACGGUAGAGGGGGCAACCCCUCGAGAGUGGCGAACGGGUGAGUAAUAUAUCGGAACGUGCCCAGUCGUGGGGGAUAACGUAGCGAAAGUUACGCUAAUACCGCAUACGAUCUAAGGAUGAAAGCGGGGGAUCGCAAGACCUCGCGCGAUUGGAGCGGCCGAUAUCAGAUUAGGUAGUUGGUGGGGUAAAGGCUCAACAAGCCAACGAUCUGUAGCUGGUCUGAGAGGACGACCAGCCACACUGGAACUGAGACACGGUCCAGAUUCCUACGGGAGGCAGCAGUGGGGAAUUUUGGACAAUGGACGCAAGUCUGAUCCAGCCAUUCCGCGUGCAGGAUGAAGGCCCUCGGGUUGUAAACUGCUUUUGUACGGAACGAAAAGGUCUCUCUUAAUACGGGGGACUCAUGACGGUACCGUAAGAAUAAGCACCGGCUAACUACGUGCCAGCCGCCGCCGUAA